rnacentral:rRNA from 1 species
UACGUAGGGGGCUAGCGUUGUCCGGAAUCAUUGGGCGUAAAGCGCGCGUAGGCGGCCAGAUAAGUCCGGUGUGAAAGUCACAGGCUCAACCUGUGAAUGCCGCUGGAAACUGUCUGGCUAGAGUCCGGAAGGGGCGAGUGGAAUUCCUGGUGUAGCGGUGAAAUGCGUAGAUAUCUGGAGGAACACCGGUGGCGAAGGCGGCAUCCUGGACCGAGAUUGACGCUGAGGCGCGAAAGCCAGGGGAGCAAACAGG